GGCUGUUACGGUGCGCUCGGCCGGGCAGCCGCCCGUGCAGCAAGACCAGCCCACGCAGGGGAAGCCGGUGUGAACCCGGCGCUGACCCGCAACCGUGAGCCGCGCAGCGAUGCGAGGCGAGCCGGAAUGCCUGCCGGGCUGGGUGGUCAGUG
rnacentral:ncRNA from 1 species